rnacentral:rRNA from 1 species
AUUGAACGCUGGCGGCAUGCCUUACACAUGCAAGUCGAACGGUAACGGGCCUUCGGGUGCCGACGAGUGGCGAACGGGUGAGUAAUGUAUCGGAACGUACCUUUCAGUGGGGGAUAACGUAGCGAAAGUUACGCUAAUACCGCAUAUUCUGUGCGCAGGAAAGCAGGGGAUCGCAAGACCUUGCGCUGAUUGAGCGGCCGAUAGUCAGAUUAGCUAGUUGGUGAGGUAAAGGCUCACCAAGGCGACGAUCUGUAGCGGGUCUGAGAGGAUGAUCCGCCACACUGGAACUGAGACACGGUCCAGACUCCUACGGGAGGCAGCAGUGGGGAAUUUUGGACAAUGGGGGCAACCCUGAUCCAGCCAUGCCGCGUGAGUGAAGAAGGCCUUCGGGUUGUAAAGCUCUUUCGGCCGGGAAGAAAUCGUAUGGGUUAAUACCCUGUGCGGAUGACGGUACCGGCAUAAGAAGCACCGGCUAACUACGUG